GCCAGUGUCACCAAAGUCAAAGUCCUCAAGGUCCAGAGGCCGAAGGUCUCCGAGGCCAGGGACUGGGACAACAGGCAAAAGUCCAGUUUCCGGAAGACCACAGGAAGAAGGCGGGAGCUGCACACCUGGGCCCUCGUGGUGGGAGAGGAGGGCACACACAGAUUUGAAGGCUACACUGCCCACAAGUUGCCUUCAGCUGCAGUAUGGAAGACACAUCAGAAAGCGUAGGAGAGACCAUUGGCAGCUCUUACAGCCUGACCCCUCCAGAAUGGACACAGGAGAAAGCCUGAAUGACCUGUUCGAGACCCCCAGCAAUGCAGGAUGUUCUGGGAAGAAGCCUAGAAGGGGAGCAACUGGGUCAAGUGGAGCUUCUCAAGCCCGCUCAGGAAGCAGACAACAGCACCCAGGGCCUCCCUGCUGCUCCUCUGCAGCGCACCAGCCUCUGCUUUCCUUGGCCUGAAAGCAGCUGGGCCUGGAGCACUUGCCUCGUCCAGCUCACACUACUGCUGCUCUUCACACACUGGCCCUGUCUGCUCACUUGGGCUCUGCCUGCCCGCACCUCUCCAAGGACCAUCCUGCCUGGCACCUGCAGAACUCCCAACGUGGCCUGCAGGGCAGCAAGGGGAACCUGUUUCCAGGCUCACAGCCGACACUCAGACAGGGGCCGUCCACAUGCCGGCUGAUCAGCCCUCCAUGAUUUGAGACGCUGCACGAUGAAUGCAAUCCUUAUGUACUGUAAACAUGUCUAAUAAUUUUUUUUAAAUAUUUAAAACAAGUUUGAGAUGAGUUGAGAAAAUGAAGUAUUCACACACAACAGAGCACUGCUGUGCUAUAAAAAGAUAAACCUGGG
rnacentral:lncRNA from 1 species